AGGAUCAUUAGUGAUUGCCCUCUGGGCUUAAAACUAUAUCCAUAUACACCUGUGAACCGUUUGAUUGACUCUUCUGAGUUGAUUUUACAAACAUUGUGUAAUGAACGUCUAGUUAUUAUAACAAAAAUAACUUUCAACAACGGAUCUCUUGGCUCUCGCAUCGAUGAAGAACGCAGCGAAAUGCGAUAAGUAAUGUGAAUUGCAGAAUUCAGUGAAUCAUCGAAUCUUUGAACGCAACUUGCGCUCUCUGGUAUUCCGGAGAGCAUGCCUGUUUGAGUGUCAUGAAAUCUCAACCAUUAGGGUUUCUUAAUGGCUUGGAUUUGGGUGUUGCCAGUCUCUGGCUCGCCUUAAAGGAGUUAGCGAGUUUAACAAUGUCCUCUGACGUAAUAAGUUUCGUUGGAAAGGCUUGUGAAGUUUGCUUCUAAUCGUCUUCGGACAAUUACUUUGACUCUGGCCUCAAAUCAGGUAGGACUACCCGCUGAACUUAAGCAUAUCAAUAAGCGGAGGAAAAGAAACUAACAAGGAUUCCCCUAGUAACGGCGAGUGAACCGGGAAGAGCUCAAAUUUGAAAUCUGGCAGUCUUCGAUUGUCCGAGUUGUAAUCUAUAGAAGCGUUUUCCGUGCUGAACUGUGUCUAAGUCCCUUGGAACAGGGUAUCAAAGAGGGUGACAAUCCCGUACUUGACACAAUCAUCAGUGCUCUGUGAUACGUUCUCUACGAGUCGAGUUGUUUGGGAAUGCAGCUCAAAAUGGGUGGUAAAUUCC
rnacentral:rRNA from 1 species